rnacentral:rRNA from 1 species
UACGUAGGGGGGCAAGCGUUGUCCGGAUUUAUUGGGCGUAAAGAGCGUGUAGGCGGCCAGACAGGUCAGCUGUGAAAAACUCGAGGCUCAACCUCGAGACGUCGGUUGAAACCGUCUGGCUAGAGUCCGGAAGAGGAGAGUGGAAUUCCCGGGUGUAGCGGUGAAAAUGCGCAGAUAUCGGGAAGAACACCCGUGGCGAAGGCGGCUCUCUGGGGACGGUACUGACGCUGAGACGCGAAAGCGUGGGGGAGCGAACAGG